CAAAUAUCUGGAACACAGAAGAGCUUAUUACAUGUUGUGUGGAUGGAUUAAGCUUGCUAAGCUAUUUGGAAACAGGAAGAAAAAGCAUGCCCAGAAUUUGGAGACCACCCAUGGAAAGGCAUGACCUCCACUGGGUGUUCAGGACUUGAGGUGACAAUGUUUAAAGCAAGACAAACAACUAAAGAAAACCAAAAUAAUGUGGUUUACAUGCUAGGAGAAGAACAGUCUUGUAGCCAACAUAAAUGAGCUCUCAUGGAAACCUCUGCCCGCCAAGAACACUUAACCUCCACGAAUGACAUCUGUGCCACAAGGGUGGAGCUCGAAGUCCCAGUCUGCCUCUGGCUGGAGCCCUCAAGAAGGUAGAGACCUGCUUAAACCUCCAAAAGUCAAUUUUCUACACCAGCAGCAUACAGGGGAAAGAAAGUAGAACAAAUUAAAGAGAAAACAAAUCAAAGGAUGAAGGGGAAGAGGAAAUCCCUCUCAUAUGGAGCAGACAUGGAGGCAAAGUUGA
rnacentral:lncRNA from 1 species